AAUGUGUGGCAUACGGCUCAGUAACACGUAGUCAACAUGCCCAGGGGACGUGGAUAACCUCGGGAAACUGAGGAUAAACCGCGAUAGGUCACUACUUCUGGAAUGGGUAAUGACCCAAACCUAUAUGGCCCCUGGAUUGGACUGCGGCCGAUCAGGCUGUUGGUGAGGUAAUGGCCCACCAAACCUGUAACCGGUACGGGCUCUGAGAGGAGGAGCCCGGAGAUGGGCACUGAGACAAGGGCCCAGGCCCUAUGGGGCGCAGCAGGCGCGAAACCUCUGCAAUAGGCGAAAGCUUGACAGGGUUACUCUGAGUGAUUUCCGUUAAGGAGAUCUUUUGGCACCUCUAAAAAUGGUGCAGAAUAAGGGGUGGGCAAGUCUGGUGUCAGCCGCCGCGGUAAUACCAGCACCCCGAGUGGUCGGGACGUUUAUUGGGCCUAAAGCAUCCGUAGCCGGUUCUACAAGUCUUCCGUUAAAUCCACCUGCUCAACAGAUGGGCUGCGGAAGAUACUAUGGAGCUAGGAGGCGGGAGAGGCAAGCGGUACUCGAUGGGUAGGGGUAAAAUCCGUUGAUCCAUUGAAGACCACCAGUGGCGAAGGCGGCUUGCCAGAACGCGCUCGACGGUGAGGGAUGAAAGCUGGGGGAGCAAACCGGAUUAGAUACCCGGGUAGUCCCAGCUGUAAACGAUGCAGACUCGGUGAUGAGUUGGCUUUAUGCC
rnacentral:rRNA from 1 species